UUAACUUGUUAAUCAUAAAAAUUGCUCUCCAAAAAAAUAUACUGCAAAUAUCCGGAUGUAGGGUUAUAAUUAAAAAUGAAAGCAGAACAGCCUUCCCUAAGAGAAGUGAAACUCUUAAUUCAAACAUAUAGCAUGGCUGAUAAUGAAAGUAAAAAUGCGGACAUGUAUAGAUACUGAGAAGUCUUGAGAUUUUAUCACUGACCAUCUGA
rnacentral:lncRNA from 1 species